rnacentral:rRNA from 1 species
GAUGAACGCUAGCGGCAGGCCUAAUACAUGCAAGUCGAACGAUACUUUCCAGCUUGCUGGAGAGGAAAGUGGCGCACGGGUGCGUAACGCGUAUGCAACCUACCUUAAUCAGGGGGAUAGCCCGAAGAAAUUCGGAUUAACACCGCAUAAAAUCACAGUAUAGCAUUAUACAAUGAUCAAAUAUUUAUGGGAUUAAGAUGGGCAUGCGUGACAUUAGUUAGUUGGCGGGGUAACGGCCCACCAAGACCACGAUGUCUAGGGGAUCUGAGAGGAUGACCCCCCACACUGGUACUGAGACACGGACCAGACUCCUACGGGAGGCAGCAGUAAGGAAUAUUGGUCAAUGGAGGCAACUCUGAACCAGCCAUGCCGCGUGCAGGAAGACAGCCCUCUGGGUCGUAAACUGCUUUUAUUCGGGAAUAAACCUAUCUACGUGUAGAUAGCUGAAUGUACCGAAGGAAUAAGGAUCGGCUAACUCCGUGCCAGCCGCUGCAGUAA